UACCUGCCUAUGAAUUAACUGAAUUUACUGCUGACCUAUCAACUGGCUGCAUACACCUAUCUGCUCAUUGAAGUACCACAAACUAUCAACUGACUGCAUUGUUUGCUUGAUUAGAGAAAAUGUGAUUCCUCUAGUAGAUGUAAAUGUCUAUCUGAUUUUAAAAUGGCCUUCGUCAUUGUGAAUACUAACAUUUUGACUUCAAUGGUUUUAAGUUGCCUACUAAAUAUUUUGUACGGCAACUUUCAUUUGUUUUGAGCGACUUGUGAUAAGGCAAUUUUGUGGAGAUUUGUACAGGGAUUGAAGCUAUGUCUUGUAUAGAUGUGUAUGAGUGUGUGUGUGUGCUCAGUAAAUAGAUGUGUACUUGUAAGAAUGUGCAUGUGUGUGUUUUGGUGAACACAUUUGCUGCACAUGGUGUUUACCAUGGCUUCUAGUUGAUGCAACUGCAGUUGGUCCUGUUCAUAUUAAACAUAUAUUUUUAAUGAGUAAAAAAGUGAAUGAGUCUCUGCUUAUAUUUUUAAAUUAUUUGAAGCGUGGGUGCGAGAUGACUGUUUCAGCUUACUGCUGCUUUAUAUACAUAUAUAUAUACAUAUAUGUGUAUAAAUAUAUAUAUAUAUAUUUAU